GAAGCCCCGGCACCUUUUGGGGUGCUUCUCCAGACUUGCAAUCUGUUGUGCA
rnacentral:tRNA from 1 species